GAUCAACGCUGGCGGCGUGCCUAAUACAUGCAAGUCGAGCGAACAGACGAGGAGCUUGCUCCUCUGACGUUAGCGGCGGACGGGUGAGUAACACGUGGAUAACCUACCUAUAAGACUGGGAUAACUUCGGGAAACCGGAGCUAAUACCGGAUAAUAUAUUGAACCGCAUGGUUCAAUAGUGAAAGACGGUUUUGCUGUCACUUAUAGAUGGAUCCGCGCCGCAUUAGCUAGUUGGUAAGGUAACGGCUUACCAAGGCAACGAUGCGUAGCCGACCUGAGAGGGUGAUCGGCCACACUGGAACUGAGACACGGUCCAGACUCCUACGGGAGGCAGCAGUAGGGAAUCUUCCGCAAUGGGCGAAAGCCUGACGGAGCAACGCCGCGUGAGUGAUGAAGGUCUUGGAUCGUAAAACUCUGUUAUUAGGGAAGAACAAAUGUGUAAGUAACUAUGCACGUCUUGACGGUACCUAAUCAGAAAGCCACGGCUAACUACGUG
rnacentral:rRNA from 1 species